rnacentral:tRNA from 1 species
GGAGAGAUGGCUGAGUGGUCGAAAGCGGCACCCUGCUAAGGUGUUAUCUGGAGCAAUCCGGAUCGAGGGUUCGAAUCCCUCUCUCUCCGCCA